rnacentral:lncRNA from 1 species
GGAUAGGCCCUGUGCACCUGGGGCCUAUGCGCACGGUGCCUAGUGCGCUAAGGCCCUGCACACGUAGCAGCAAGCUUGUGCACCUGCAAGCUAGCCCGUAGCACGCCGACUGAGCACUACCACCUCAAGUAGUGCACUGCUGCUACUUUGGGCGGCACGUUGCCACCAUCAGUGGAGGAAAAUUUUCUCCCUCAUUUUUUGUGCCAAGAACCUUUUUUUCAUCUCUCUUCACCAGAUUUUGCCACUUGGCACAAAUCCAACAGUUCUAAAAUUCUAUAAAUUGCCCUUCCUUUUUUCUUCCUCUCAACACUUCUAUUUCUUUUAUUUUUC